rnacentral:rRNA from 1 species
AGGGUUUGAUCCUGGCUCAGGAUGAACGCUAGCGGCAGGCCUAAUACAUGCAAGUCGAACGAUACUAUCCAGCUUGCUGGAUAGGAAAGUGGCGCACGGGUGCAUAACGCGUAUGCAACCUACCUUAAUCAGGGGGAUAGCCCGAAGAAAUUCGGAUUAACACCGCAUAAAAACACAGGGUAGCAUUACCUAAUGUUCAAAUAUUUAUAGGAUUAAGAUGGGCAUGCGUGUCAUUAGCUAGUUGGCGGGGUAACGGCCCACCAAGGCGACGAUGACUAGGGGAUCUGAGAGGAUGACCCCCCACACUGGUACUGAGACACGGACCAGACUCCUACGGGAGGCAGCAGUAAGGAAUAUUGGUCAAUGGAGGCAACUCUGAACCAGCCAUGCCGCGUGCAGGAAGACAGCCCUCUGGGUCGUAAACUGCUUUUAUUCGGGAAUAAACCACCAUACGUGUAUGGUGCUGAAUGUACCGAAGGAAUAAGGAUCGGCUAACUCCGUGCCAGCAGCCGCGGUAAUACGGAGGAUCCAAGCGUUAUCCGGAUUUAUUGGGUUUAAAGGGUGCGUA